AUUGAACGCUGGCGGCAUGCUUUACACAUGCAAGUCGAACGGUAACAGGUUAAGCUGACGAGUGGCGAACGGGUGAGUAAUGCAUCGGAACGUGCCCGAUCGUGGGGGAUAACGCAGCGAAAGCUGCGCUAAUACCGCAUACGAUCUGAGGAUGAAAGCGGGGGACCGUACGGCCUCGCGCGAUCGGAGCGGCCGACGUCAGAUUAGGUAGUUGGUGGGGUAAAGGCUCACCAAGCCGACGAUCUGUAGCUGGUCUGAGAGGACGACCAGCCACACUGGGACUGAGACACAGCCCAGACUCCUACGGGAGGCAGCAGUGGGGAAUUUUGGACAAUGGGCGCAAGCCUGAUCCAGCAAUGCCGCGUGCAGGAAGAAGGCCUUCGGGUUGUAAACUGCUUUUGUACGGAGCGAAAAGGCUCUCUCUAAUACAGGGGGCUCAUGACGGUACCGUAAGAAUAAGCACCGGCUAACUACGUGCCAGCAGCCGCCGUAA
rnacentral:rRNA from 1 species